GGGUUACUGGAGGGGUGUGGGAGGGGGGAUGGGCUAAAUGGGUGAUGGGUAUGAAGGAGGGCGCCUGUUGUAAUGAGCACUGGGUGUUGUAUGUAAGUGAUGGAUCACUGAAUCCUACUCCUGAAACCAAUAUUGCACUGUAUGUUAACUAAAA